rnacentral:rRNA from 1 species
UACGUAGGGGCCUAGCGUUGUCCGGAAUUAUUGGGCGUAAAGAGCUCGUAGGCGGUCUGUCGCGUCGGUCGUGAAAACUUGGGGCUUAACCCUGAGCUUGCGGUCGAUACGGGCAUGACUGGAGUUCGGCAGGGGAGACUGGAAUUCCUGGUGUAGCGGUGAAAUGCGCAGAUAUCAGGAGGAACACCGGUGGCGAAGGCGGGUCUCUGGGCCGAUACUGACGCUGAGGAGCGAAAGCGUGGGGAGCGAACAGG